rnacentral:rRNA from 1 species
GAUGAACGCUGGCGGCGUGCCUAAUACAUGCAAGUCGAGCGAACAGACGCGGAGCUUGCUCCUCUGACGUUAGCGGCGGCCGGGUGAGUAACACGUGGAUAACCUACCUAUACGACUGGGAUAACUUCGGGAAACCGGAGCUAAUACCGGAUAAUAUAUUGAACCGCAUGGUUCAAUAGUGAAAGACGGUUUUGCUGUCACUUAUAGAUGGAUCCGCGCCGUAUUAGCUAGUUGGUAAGGUAACGGCUUACCAAGGCAACGAUGCGUAGCCGACCUGAGAGGGUGAUCGGCCACACUGGAACUGAGGCGCGGUCCAGACUCCUACGGGAGGCAGCAGUAGGGAAUCUUCCGCAAUAGGCGAAGGCCUGACGGAGCAGCGCCGCGUGGUGGGUGAAGGUCUUCGGAUCGUAAAACUCUGUUAUUGGGAAAGAACAAAUGUGUAAGUGACUAUGCACGUCUUGACGGUACCUAAUCAGGAAGCCACGGCUAACUACGUG